GGACUCUGGAGAAUCCCUUUUAGAAAUAAGGGUGCCGAAGGUGCAAAUACGAAAGGAUGAUACUUUCGUAUAAUCUCUCAGGCAAAAGGACAGAGCU
rnacentral:ncRNA from 1 species